GCUAUAGGUUCGGGACAACAUUGGGAAACUGAUGCUAAUACCGGAUGUGCCGAGAGGUAAAAGCUUAAUGUGCCUAUAGAUGAGCUCGCGUCCGAUUAGCUAGUAGGUGGGGGUAAGAGCUCACCUAGGCGAUGAUCGGUAGCUGGUCUGAGAGGAUGGCCAGCCACACUGGGACUGAGACACGGCCCAGACUCCUACGGGAGGCAGCAGUGGGGAAUUUUCCGCAAUGGGCGAAAGCCUGACGGAGCAAUACCGCGUGAGGGAGGAAGGCUUUUGGGUCGUAAACCUCUUUUCUCUGGGAAGAAGAUCUGACGGUACCAGAGGAAUCAGCAUCGGCUAACUCCGUGCCAGCAGCCGCGGUAAUACGUGAGGAUGCAAGCGUUAUCCGGAAUUAUUGGGCGUAAAGCGUCCGCAGGUGGUUUGUCAAGUCUGCUGUCAAAGCGUGGAGCUUAACUCCAUACAGGCAGUGGAAACUGAUGAGCUAGAGUUCGGUAGGGGUAGCGGGAAUUCCCAGUGUAGCGGUGAAAUGCGUAGAUAUUGGGAAGAACACCGGCGCGAAAGCGCUGCUACUGGGCCGAGACUGAUAGUACGGGAUGAGUAC
rnacentral:rRNA from 1 species